AUUGAACGCUGGCGGCAGGCUUAACACAUGCAAGUCGAGCGGAGUGAUGGUGCUUGCACUAUCACUUAGCGGCGGACGGGUGAGUAAUGCUUAGGAAUCUGCCUAUUAGUGGGGGACAACAUCUCGAAAGGGAUGCUAAUACCGCAUACGUCCUACGGGAGAAAGCAGGGGAUCACUUGUGACCUUGCGCUAAUAGAUGAGCCUAAGUCGGAUUAGCUAGUUGGUGGGGUAAAGGCCUAACAAGGCGACGAUCUGUAGCGGGUCUGAGAGGAUGAUCCGCCACACUGGGACUGAGACACGGCCCAGACUCCGACGGGAGGCAGCAGUGGGGAAUAUUGGACAAUGGGGGGAACCCUGAUCCAGCCAUGCCGCGUGUGUGAAGAAGGCCUUAUGGUUGUAAAGCACUUUAAGCGAGGAGGAGGCUCUUUUGGUUAAUACCCAAGAUGAGUGGACGUUACUCGCAGAAUAAGCACCGGCUAACUCUGUGCCAGCCGCCGCAGUAA
rnacentral:rRNA from 1 species